GAUAAACGCUGGCGGCGUGCCUAACACAUGCAAGUCGAACGCCCUUUUGCGCAAGUGAGAGGGAGUGGCGGACGGGUGAGUACCACGUGGGUACCUACCUUGAGGUGAGGAAUACCACCGAGAAAUCGGUGACAAGACCGCAUACGCUUGGCAACAAGCAAAAGUCUCGCAAGAGACGCCACAAGAUGGGCCUGCGCCUGAUUAGCUAGUUGGUGAGGUAAUGGCCACCUAGGCGACGAUCAGUAGCUGGUCU
rnacentral:rRNA from 1 species